GCCUUCAUGGUGUAAUUGGAAACACACUCGACGCAUAUUCCAGAGAUGCAGGUUCGAAUCCUGGUCGAGGGCA
rnacentral:tRNA from 1 species